rnacentral:rRNA from 1 species
UACGUAGGUGGCAAGCGUUGUCCGGAAUUACUGGGCGUAAAGGGCGUGUAGGCGGCCUUUUAAGUCAGACGUGAAAUCCCUGGGCUUAACCCAGGACCUGCGUUUGAAACUGGAAGGCUUGAGGACCGGAGAGGGUAGUGGAAUUCCCAGUGUAGCGGUGAAAUGCGUAGAUAUUGGGAGGAACACCAGUGGCGAAGGCGACUGCCUGGACGGCACCUGACGCUGAGGCGCGAAAGCCAGGGGAGCAAAC